rnacentral:rRNA from 1 species
CCCUUAGAUGUUCUGGGCUGCACGCGUGCUACAAUGAAGCGUCCAACAAGAUGCGAAGCCGAAAGGCUCAGCGGAUCUUUGAAGUCGUUUCGUGACCGGGACAGUUGAUUGCAAUUAUUCGACUCGAACGAGGAAUUCCUUGUAAUCGCGAUUCAUCAUAUCGCGCUGAAUACGUCCCUGCCCUUUGUACACACCGCCCGUCGCUCCUACCGAUUGAGCGAUCCGGUGAAUUAUUUGGAGUGUCCACACAAGCCAAUCCGUUUACGUGGGUGCGAAAUUUUGUAAACCUUAUCGCUUAGAGGAAGGAAAAGUCGUAACA